AUCAUCGAAACCCUUGCUUUCAUGCUCCAUGGUGUUAAAUAUCCAGUUUCCUUAGUAUGACAGUCCUGAAUGAAUUUAUGUAGUGACUAAUGUUGUAUUCCACUCGCGAUACUUAUUUAUUUUAAUCACAACGCGAAAUACAACCGAAGUUUUUAAUACAAUAUUCGUCGUGACAAAAGUAGACUCUAGUCCUAAGUUGGUUCGGAAAAAUCUGCCCCUGGAGGGAAAAAUGUUAGGUAUUUUAUAGGAUCGAAAAAAUAGGAAGCUGGGAGUUAACGUGAGUCCAGCAAUCAGUAGGGGAUGAGGUCAUGAGGUCAAGGUUUGGAGAUGACUAGUUCGGAGGAAUCAUUAGGAAUAGAAGGAAGGACUUGGAGUGUUUGUUGUUGAAGGUUGACUUAUAAUAUGAUAAGAAAACCGGACUAUCUAAGUACGAUAGUGAAUAAUUCGAAUUAACGUUCCCACGGUGAUGUCAUAACGAUCACCUCGCACCUUCUUCCGACGCACAACUGGACGAUACAGAUUCAUAGAACCUAACCUCACGGCCGCUAGGUUAUUUAGCGUCCCUCUUUCCUACAAUCAGUGACUACAAUCCAGAAGUUAACUGCGAGAAUGAGUUCAUUAAAAAGACUCGAUACUACUAACACAUGAUUGUAUUUGUAUAUACAUAUUAACUGAAAACUACGAAUUUUGAAUUUUUAAAUUAUGAACGAUUAUAUAAUUAAAAAGAUUCUAUUCUAGAAGGAAAUAUAUUUAAUGUAAAAGCAGUGGAAAGUGAUGUAUAGUGAUCACGUGUGUUUCUGUGGUGACACAUUGACCUAAUUUGAUCUGUCACUUCUAAAGGGGUUUAGAAUGAACGCGUUACUUUAGAAUUAAUUAUGCCCUUAUUUAUGUAGUUGCAAAUGGUUUUUGAAAAUUAUAAACAUUAUAUAAACAGUAAAGUAAUGAAAGUUUCAUGAUA